CGCAAGAAAGUGCCUCACAAUAUUAAAUUUAUACAUUAAGUUAAGCCUCUUGGAAACAUUUAAUUCCAAUUACAACAUAAUUUACCAAAUAACAUUCAAUCAUAAUACUUUGAGUCAAUAAUGUAGUUCAUUUUUAACCAGCAGCUUAGGAAGAUUUUGUCUUGGACCAAGGCUAUGGCUGGUCCUAAUGAAACCCCGUCGGAAUCGCGAGCAAAGAAUGCGGCGAGGGGAGUGAUGGAGUAGAGCCUGUGAAAGGUGGGAGGGACAAGGUUGUCGGAAACGAGAGAAGAGUGAAGAAUGGAGUGAGAGGAAAGAAGAAUGAGGAGACGAUCUAGCAUUGAGGCUGCUUCUGGGUUGGUGCAGGAAAUCUUGGAUGCUAUGUCCUUUGCAGAGAGCUUAGCAGCUUCACCCGCUUCUUUCAGCACCUCAAACACACCCAGCUCCGUCGC
rnacentral:sRNA from 1 species